AUGUUGUUCGUGCCUCUGUGUUACCAAUGGUGCGUUCGUGGGAAACUUUUCUGUAGUUUGUUUUGUCCGCGCGGCUUUGCUGCAGGCGAAGUCUCUGUGAACUUGGAAAAAACACACGUCUAUUUUGCGCAUAAACUAUGUACAUAUAGCAAUGGCAUAUUUGAGGAGGAAGAAGAAGAGGAGGAAGAGACACAAUUUCUCAACACUCUAAUGUUCAGUUUGACAGAUAAAUCAUCCUUCCAAGGCCACAAAUAUCUCUCACAUCUCUUUUUGGAUAUUCCAUAUAUCAGCCAAAUUAUCUACUCAGCACCAGCCAGACUGCCCCUAGCCAACCACCGGCCGCCAGCCUACGCCCACCACGCUCGCGGCUUCCGGCGGGCGCUUGGCACAGUCUCCGUUGCCGCUCAGCUCUGA
rnacentral:rRNA from 1 species